UGUGAUGCCCUUAGAUGUCCGGGGCCGCACGCGCGCUACACUGGAGGUAUCAGCGGGCGCGUCUCCCCCGGCCCGAAAGGGUCGGGAAACCUCUGAACCACCUCCCGUGAUAGGGAUCGGGGCCUGGAACCAACCCCGUGAACGAGGAAUUACCGGUGCAUGUGUGUUUAUUAUGAACAACAUUAUACACCUACC
rnacentral:ncRNA from 1 species